rnacentral:lncRNA from 1 species
UCUUCACUUCAUUAGCGGUACGGCCAGGCAAUCUUCCAGCAAUCAAUGACCACCUAAAAAUACAUUGUCAAAAUUUUAGCAUCAAUGUAAAACCCUAGACUUGUUGCAAUGAUUUGAUGAUGUAUAUAGUACUUGUGUAAAAUGUUUUUCCUGUAAUUGAGCUGAAAAGAUGAAUUUUGUUUUUCAUAUUUUUGCUUUAAGAGAAAGAAAGAUGACGGUAAAUUAAAGAGGGAAUCUGAUCAAUAGGGGCGUAUCAUGCAUAU